AGAACAUCCACAUAAACCCUGAAAUUGUUCAGUAUUCUCUCAAACAGCCGUUUGAGUCACCUCAAAUGUAGCAGUGGGCCAGAUUGAAACGGUCCGAUGCACUUCACUUGCAAUGUAGAUCAUCAUUUCUGGACAGCUUUCUACUUACUGCUGUGGACAUGAAAGGAUCGUCCUAGGCUUGCCCAUGCUGAUGGGCUGCACCACAGCAGUACUGGAGCUGAAUUCCUGUUAGAAAACAUCUUCAGGA